AUCCAGAUGAUGAAUCCCAAAUAAGACAAAACGUGCGUCCUGGAU
rfam:Schistosoma mansoni strain Puerto Rico chromosome 1, complete genome